UACAUGUGGGGCAAGCGUUGUUCGGAAUUACUGGGCGUAAAGCGCACGUAGGCGGCUUUGCAAGUUAGAGGUGAAAGCCCGGGGCUCAACUCCGGAAUUGCCUUUAAAACUGCAUCGCUAGAAUUGUGGAGAGGUAAGUGGAAUUCCGAGUGUAGAGGUGAAAUUCGUAGAUAUUCGGAAGAACACCAGUGGCGAAGGCGACUUACUGGACACAUAUUGACGCUGAGGUGCGAAAGCGUGGGGAGCAAACAGG
rnacentral:rRNA from 1 species